UACGGAGGGUGCGAGCGUUAAUCGGAAUUACUGGGCGUAAAGCGCGCGUAGGCGGUCUGAUCAGCCGGUUGUGAAAGCUCCGGGCUCAACCUGGGAACGGCAUCCGGAACUGUCAGGCUAGAGUGCAGGAGAGGAAGGUAGAAUUCCCGGUGUAGCGGUGAAAUGCGUAGAGAUCGGGAGGAAUACCAGUGGCGAAGGCGGCCUUCUGGACUGACACUGACGCUGAGGUGCGAAAGCGUGGGUAGCAAACAGGAUUAGAUACCCU
rnacentral:rRNA from 1 species